GGGUUGUGAGGUUAAGCGACUAAGCGUACACGGUGGAUGCCCUGGCAGUCAGAGGCGAUGAAGGGCGUGCUAAUCUGCGAUAAGCGCCGGUAAGGUGAUAUGAACCGUUAUAACCGGCGAUACCCGAAUGGGGAAACCCAGUGUGAUUCGUCACACUAUCAUUAACUGAAUCCAUAGGUUAAUGAGGCGAACCGGGGGAACUGAAACAUCUAAGUACCCCGAGGAAAAGAAAUCAACCGAGAUUCCCCCAGUAGCGGCGAGCGAACGGGGAGGAGCCCAGAGCCUGAAUCAGCAUGUGUGUUAGUGGAAGCGUCUGGAAAGGCGCGCGAUACAGGGUGACAGCCCCGUACACAAAAGCGCAUGUGCUGUGAGCUCGAUGAGUAGGGCGGGACACGUGGUAUCCUGUCUGAAUAUGGGGGGACCAUCCUCCAAGGCUAAAUACUCCUGACUGACCGAUAGUGAACCAGUACCGUGAGGGAAAGGCGAAAAGAACCCCGGCGAGGGGAGUGAAAAAGAACCUGAAACCGUGUACGUACAAGCAGUGGGAGCACAGGUUUACCUGUGUGACUGCGUACCUUUUGUAUAAUGGGUCAGCGACUUAUAUUCUGUAGCAAGGUUAACCGAAUAGGGGAGCCGGAGGGAAACCGAGUCUUAACCGGGCGUUAAGUUGCAGGGUAUAGACCCGAAACCCGGUGAUCUAGCCAUGGGCAGGUUGAAGGUUGGGUAACACUAACUGGAGGACCGAACCGACUAAUGUUGAAAAAUUAGCGGAUGACCUGUGGCUGGGGGUGAAAGGCCAAUCAAACCGGGAGAUAGCUGGUUCUCCCCGAAAGCUAUUUAGGUAGCGCCUCGUGAAUUCAUCUCCGGGGGUAGAGCACUGUUUCGGCUAGGGGGCCAUCCCGGCUUACCAACCCGAUGCAAACUGCGAAUACCGGAGAAUGUUAUCACGGGAGACACACGGCGGGUGCUAACGUCCGUCGUGAAGAGGGAAACAACCCAGACCGCCAGCUAAGGUCCCAAAGUCAUGGUUAAGUGGGAAACGAUGUGGGAAGGCCCAGACAGCCAGGAUGUUGGCUUAGAAGCAGCCAUCAUUUAAAGAAAGCGUAAUAGCUCACUGGUCGAGUCGGCCUGCGCGGAAGAUGUAACGGGGCUAAACCAUG
rnacentral:rRNA from 1 species